GGCGCGGUACGCAAACCGGCAGAGCGGCCAAGCUCAAACCUUGGUGUGUGCGGGUUCGAAUCCCGCCUGCGCCA
rnacentral:tRNA from 1 species